GGCGUAGCUCAAUGGUUAGAGCACUGGACUGUGGCUCCAGGUGUUGGGGGUUCGAGUCCCCUCG
rnacentral:tRNA from 1 species